CGGGACCUCUCUAGCAUAGUAGACUGGUGCGCUAUCAUGCCGCGCUCGCGCUCCGAUGUACUGUACAGGGUGUGCGAAAAUCUGCAGUUGCAUUUCGCAGAGACAAGUUACAUUUACACCGAGAGUAUUGAUAGCAAAUUUAAAAGGAGGAAUAAGCUCUAUGUAUGAACAAGGUAUCUUAUAUGAUACGGAGCAUAGAAUCUGCCUCGAAUAACCAACUAUGGGACGGCGGAAAAUUGGAAAUCGCCAGCACCGAAAUACCUAAUCUGGAAACACCGUCUACAGAGGCAUUGAACGAACCAGAUGAAGCUAAGCAUUCAACUUCGAGUGAUGACGAAAAUGACAUGAAAUCAUCAUGGGCUGAUUAUCUUUUACCUGUUGUUUCAUCCGAGGUCAUUGACAGUUGUCAAAGAAUAUUCGCAUAAUUGUAAUAAUCGACCGUUCACAUAUGGUUGCAAUUU